GCCAGGCACCGUGGGCGCAUGCCUGUAAUCCCAGCAACUCUGGAGGCUGAGGCAGGAGGAUCACAAGUUCAAAGUCAGCCUCAGCAACUUAGUGAGGCCCCUAACUAAGCAACCUAGUGAGGACCCUGUCUCAA
rnacentral:sRNA from 1 species